rnacentral:rRNA from 1 species
AGACGGAGGGCGCGAGCGUUGUUCGGAAUUACUGGGCGUAAAGGGCGCGCAGGCGGACGGGCAAGUCGGAAGUGAAAUCCCGGGGCUCAACUCCGGGACUGCUUCCGAUACUGCUUGUCUAGGGACCGGUAGAGGCUGGUGGAAUUCCCGGUGUAGCGGUGGAAUGCGUAGAUAUCGGGAAGAACACCCGUGGCGAAGGCGGCCAGCUGGGCCGGAUCCGACGCUGAGGCGCGAAAGCGUGGGGAGCAAACAGGAUUAGAUACCCUGGUAGUCCACGCCGUAAACGAUGGGUGCUAGAUGCCGGGGGGAGCGACCCCUUCGGUGUCGCAGCUAACGCGUUAAGCACCCCGCCUGGGGAGUACGGCCGCAAGGCUGAA